rnacentral:lncRNA from 1 species
AGGAUGGUGGAGCGAGCUCAAAAGCGUAAAGAGCGAUUGAAUACUCAUCUGAAGCAUCCUAAAGACAAUCUUUCAAAAGAAUCACUAGAUCUGAAGGAAAACAAAAAUUUGCACGUCUCAGAUUUGGCAAGUAACAGAAUGAAAGGAAUACUGCAGAACGGUAGCAUAAGUGUUUCUUUAGACAAAACAGAGAAUACGGGUUUUGUCUUCAAAGCAAAUUCUGAACAAAACCCAGCUUCCUCUGCUGUAGGAGUGUCAUCCAUCAACCAUUUGCCCAAUUCAAAAAAAACUUUGCAACCGCAAAAAAUGAAACCAAUGGAACCUUUAAAUUCCUUCAAAGAGGCGUCUAUGAAGUGUAGGUUUUUAUCAGAAAUAGGAACCACAAGUGGGGCACCAACUCACCUAAGAAAUCCAUCUCUAUAGAUCCUUGUGAGUUGAGCAUUGCUGACAGGAAAGCCCUUUUUGAGAGAAACAAGGACAAGCACCAUUACCCAAAGCUCCCCACAGUCAAGCCUUACCAGCUCAAAAGAAGGAAAAUGGUAAGCCGCCAAUCGACCUCCCUGCAAAGCCCCCUCCGAUCCAUGUUGAAAAUAAGCUGAUUGAUCGCAAUAUACCAGCCCAAGAAAACAAAAUGCCCGGCCCAUCGCACCUGCCACCAUCACCUCCGCCGAAGCCUGAUCACCUAAGAGCUUUCUUAGAAAAGAUUGAAGCGGAUACAAAAAUCAAAAAAGCAGAUAUUUCUACCUCCAAUUUGGAACUCAAAGAUCAAGAUACAUCGUAUAAAUCAGUUGCAUCAAGUGAAAGCAGCCUUGGUCAGAAGAUUGUUAGAUUAGCACAAAAGAGAGGCAAGGAAAUUGAAGAGUCUAAGAGACAAAUUAGCCUUAAUAUGUUGUCAGCAAGUGAAUGCGACUUUGACUCUAAUGAUCAAACUUCAGAUCAGUUAGCUCUUAACAAUGGUUCAUCUGGUCCAACUCCUCCAAAACAGUUACGUGAAUCGUCUGGAUCCUCACAUGAUAUGUGCUUGAUGAUAAUUCAGCCCUCAAUACUAACCCCUCUCAGAAAACAGGAGAUGGAAUCAACUGUGAGCAACCUCUCACCCAUACUGUCAGUUUUUAUCGCAAAACAAAACAUGAAAAUGAAAAGCAUGGGUCUUCACUCGUCAAGAAAGUAGUACAUCAGAGCAUCAGCUCAAUAAGUUGUCAAUCUUCCAAGAAGGAUGAGGAACUUGAGAGAGAAGCAGUAAGCAAAAAAAUCGCUGAACUCCAGCUGAAGAUCUCAGCCGAAACCACAGCCAUCGCUCAAGCCAUUCAGGCCUUAAAUUUGUGCUACUCAUUAGUCGAAUUUCAUGACUCUGCUGAGCAGAUGAGGCGGAACGACUUUUACUUCUUGCAAGUAAGCUACUUUUCAGAAACAACUCUUUUUAUUUCUAUACUCCUGCUCUAAGUUUUCAGCAAGGAA